rnacentral:rRNA from 1 species
AACGAACGCUGGCGGCAUGCCUAACACAUGCAAGUCGAACGAGAUCCUUCGGGGUCUAGUGGCGCACGGGUGCGUAACGCGUGGGAAUCUGCCCUUAGGUUCGGAAUAACAGUUAGAAAUGACUGCUAAUACCGGAUGAUGACGUUAAGUCCAAAGAUUUAUCGCCUGAGGAUGAGCCCGCGUAGGAUUAGCUAGUUGGUGUGGUAAAGGCGCACCAAGGCGACGAUCCUUAGCUGGUCUGAGAGGAUGAUCAGCCACACUGGGACUGAGACACGGCCCAGACUCCUACGGGAGGCAGCAGUGGGGAAUAUUGGACAAUGGGCGCAAGCCUGAUCCAGCAAUGCCGCGUGAGUGAUGAAGGCCUUAGGGUUGUAAAGCUCUUUUAACCGGGAUGAUAAUGACAGUACCGGGAGAAUAAGCCCCGGCUAACUCCGUG